CUAGAGAUAGAAAGUACUUCGGUACAUCGGUGACAGGUGGUGCAUGGUUGUCGUCAGCUCGUGUCGUGAGAUGUUGGGUUAAGUCCCGCAACGAGCGCAACCCCUAUUGUUAGUUGCCAUCAUUCAGUUGGGGCACUCUAGCGAGACUGCCGGUAAUAAACCGGAGGAAGGUGGGGAUGACGUCAAAUCAUCAUGCCCCUUAUGACCUGGGCUACACACGUGCUACAAUGGUUGGUACAACGAGUUGCGAGUCGGCGACGGCGAGCUAAUCUCUUAAAGCCAAUCUCAGCUCGGAUUGUAGGCUGCAACUCGCCUACAUGAAGUCGGAAUCGCUAGUAAUCGCGGAUCAGCACGCCGCGGUGAAUACGUUCCCGGGCCUU
rnacentral:rRNA from 1 species